CCUACGGGAGGCAGCAGUAAGGAAUAUUGGACAAUGCUCGCAAGAGUGAUCCAGCCAUGCCGCGUGCAGGAAGAAUGCCCUAUGGGUAGUAAACUGCUUUUGAACUAGAGAAAACCCCAGUACGUGUACUGGGCUGAUAGUAUAGUUAGAAUAAGCAUCGGCUAACUUCGUGCCAGCAGCCGCGGUAAGACGAAGGAUGCAAGCGUUAUCCGGAUUCAUUGGGUUUAAAGGGAGCGUAGGUGGACUGAUAAGUCAGUGGUGAAAUCUCCGAGCUUAACUCGGAAAUUGCCAUUGAUACUGUUGGUCUUGAGUACAGUUGCUGUGGGCGGAAUAUGACAUGUAGUGGUGAAAUACAUAGAGAUGUCAUAGAACACCGAUUGCGAAGGCAGCUCACAAAGCUGUAACUGACACUGAGGCUCGAAAGUGCGGGGAUCAAACAGGAUUAGAUACCCUGGUAGUCCGCACCGUAACGAUNAUACUCNCUGCGUAGGGCGACGUUACGUGUCGUAGACGAAGAACGAGUAAGUUAAGUUACGUACCGUUGGGUUAGGUACGCCGGCGACGGAGGAACGACGAAGGAAGUUAGACGGCGNGAGACGNGCGACGGACGACGACGAGGGAGGUAGG
rnacentral:rRNA from 1 species